AAUAAUCGAAUCAAUAAUAUGAGAGAUAUGAUGCAGCAAUUACUAUAGCAAUAAUUGAGUAUAACUGAGUGACUUCUCAUGUAAGCAUCAAUAAUCAAUACCGUGUGCUACUAUGCAACCACACGUAUUACUGUACUUUUACUACCGGGUAAUUCAACAGUAUUAACGGUAAAACCUCCGCCGUUAUUUUCAUAAAAUAUUUUUGUCGUUUUCUAACUACGACGACAGUACUUCCAUUGUGUGGUCCACUAAUGAUUAUGUCGUCGUACGAAUAUUCUCCGAUAAAAAGAAUAUUCCCCGACAAAACGAAUAUUUUAUAACAACUUGCAUACUUUGCAGAAUUUAUA
rnacentral:lncRNA from 1 species